rnacentral:misc_RNA from 1 species
CAGAGUUGCAAAACUCCCACAAACCAUCGCGAAUCUUACCCGUACGGUUGCCUCGGCGCUGGCGGUCCGGAAGGCCCUCGGGCCCCCGGAUCCUCGGGUCUCCCGCUCGCGGGAGGCUGCCCGCCGGAGUGCCGAAACUAAACUCUUGAUAUCUUAUGUCUCCCUGAGUACACUUUUAAAUAAGUCA